AAGGGACUCAUUGCUUUGGGGAUUCCUACUAAUUUUUUAGUUGAUGCAAAUUGUGAUCCGGAUCUCGCGAAUAUAUCGAUUCCGGCCAAUGGUGCCACUAUAACUUCAAUUCGAUUGAUUCUUAAUAAAUUACUAUUUUCAAUUUGUGAGGGCCAUUCUCUCUAUAUAAGAACUCGUUGA
rnacentral:rRNA from 1 species